GAGAAGAAGGGGGAGUGGCGUUGGAAUCUAAGGGAAACCAACUUCGCAGUCGCCAUUGCGGGCUCGAUGAGGCGAAUUCGCUGCUGGGAUCAUCGAUCGGCCUCCACGACGGUUGCAUGUUCAAGCGCUCCCUGCAACUCUGGCGUCUGCACGGCGCUUCUGGGUCCUCUUGGGCUCGGCAGGGUUAGGUUUCUGGGUGCGUGAUGGGAGCUUUUGCAUGAGAGCAUGGAGCCUGCGUCGCUGAGGACUUGAGGGUGCGUAAAGAUGUAGAAGAUUGCAGGUUUUCUAAUGUAGACAUUCUCAUAGCCGCAUUUGUACGGGUAGCAGUAAUGGCUGGCCUAAACCAAGAUGUGGCAGUUCUGGCCAAGAAGAAGCAAGCGUCAAAGACAUGGAUGGUUCUGGACAAUGAAGGGGAAAAAAGGGUGUUAGAAGUUGAUAAGUACGCAAUUAUGCAUCGUGUUGGCAUUCAUGCUCGCGAUCUUCGGAUUCUGGAUCCACUUUUAUCGUAUCCAUCCACGAUUCUGGGGCGUGAGCGGGCCAUCGUGCUCAAUCUUGAGCACAUCAAGGCGAUCAUUACCGCAGACGAGGUGUUUCUGCGUAAUCCAGCGGACGAAUUUGUGAUACCAUUCGUAGAAGAGCUCUGCAGACGAUUACCCACCAAAGGAUCUGAUAGUCUGGGUCACGAGGGGUCUGAAGGUGAAGGCAAAGAAUUGGAUGGUCCCGGAAAAGGCGCAACGUGGAGUCCUCAGCACGAGAAGCAAGAUGAUAAUACGCCAGGAAAAGACGCUCCUCCGUUUGAGUUUCGGGCGCUGGAGGUAGCUUUGGAAGCUAUUUGCAGCUUUUUAGAUGCACGCACCACUGAGUUGGAGACAAAUGCAUAUCCAGCUCUGGAUGAGCUUACCAAAAAGAUUAGUAGUCGUAAUUUGGACCGCGUACGUAAGUUGAAGAGUAGCAUGACAAGGCUUAAUGCCCGAGUUCAGAAGGUGAGAGAUGAAUUAGAACAACUUCUAGAUGACGAUGAUGACAUGGCCGACCUUUUUCUGACUCGGAAAAGAGGAGAUGGAUCUUCAUCUCCGACUGGAAGUUCUGAUGCACCUACAUCUCCAACAAUCGCAUCCCGUGCUUCAUGGGUCAGCAAGGGCACUGGAGCCAUCAGUCUUAACCAUGGAACUGCUACAGCUACAGAUUCCGAUGACGUGGAAGAGUUAGAGAUGCUUCUUGAGGCUUAUUUUAUGCAGAUUGACAGCACUUUGAACAAGCUAACUACACUUCGAGAAUACAUUGAUGAUACAGAGGAUUACAUCAACAUACAGAUGACUGUCCGCAGAAAGAACAAAUUUAGGGCAGCUGUCUUAUGAUCGUAUAUUUGCGCUGUUCUGAUGCCUUCACUGUUUCCGCUUUUUCCAAACAGCUUGACAACCAUAGAAAUCAGCUUAUCCAGUUGGAGUUGAUACUCAGCUCGGCUACUGUAGUGGUGGCUCUUUUCUCCCUUGUUGCUGGUAUAUUUGGUAUGAAUAUUCCCUAUGAGUGGAAUGAAAAUCAUGAAGAGGCCUUCACAUGGGUGGUCGUGACUACGACAAUUGCCUGCUUGGUGGUGUUCAUCGCCGUCUUAGGCUACGCACGUUACAAGCACCUCAUUGGAACUUAAGUUUCGUCCCAGAGCAGGCUACACGAAUGCUCUUGUACCACCACUCUUUAUUUACAACCCACUAUGAAUCUCUUGUGGCUACUUGCUUCAAAGGAAGUAUAUUGUUUCAAUUUCUGAGAUCCAUCGAUUUUAUCAGCAGAAUAUAGUUCUCGUGAAGCUGGCUAAAUGGUGUAACCUCGUACAAUUGUAUCACUCUGCGACCUUGCGAAGAGUAAAAAGAGAUGAUAAUUUUGCAAUAAAGUCCACCGCACUUGAGCCA